rnacentral:lncRNA from 1 species
GCAGGACUAUAUCAACCUGGAUGAGAGUGAGGCCGCAGCGUUUGAUGACGAGUGGCGGCGGGAGACCUCCCGAUUCCGGCAGCAGCGUCCCCUGGAGUUUCGGCGGCUUGAGUCCUCAGGGGCUGGGGGACGAAGGGCGGAGGGGCCUCCCCGCCUGGCCAUCCAGGGACCUGAGGACUCCCCUUCCCGACAGUCCCGCCGCUAUGACUGGUGAGGGCCCCGGGCCCUCAGCCUCUCUUGUAAGUAUCAGGAGCUGAGAAAUCAUCCCCUGAAUAACUUUUUCCUCUCGAUUCCCAUCCCCAAUUUAAUAUUAAAUUAACAGGCAAGCCGGCCCCCACCUCUCCCUGGGGGUCUCAGGGAGAACCUUUCACGGCACCCUUUCCCUACCUUUUCCUUCUUUAAUCUCCUGGUUUACCAUUGAUGACUUCGCCUCUGCAUCUACUGACUUGAUUUUUCAUUCUGCCACUCCAUCUUCAAACCCCCUCACCUUUCCCAUCCUACUCCUGCCAUGCAUUGAAGGGUCAAUGCAUUUUGGGGUGAGCUCUGGGUUUAGGGGCCCCCUCCAUCCCUCAGCUACCCUGGAUCUUUGCCCACCUCUUCCUCAGAGCCCCCACUGAGGGGCCGUAGCCCUAUCUAGGGCUGUGGAAGGAGCAGACUGGUUCCUAACUCUCUCCCUCCUCCUGCCCACACACAUCAAAAGAAUCUUCCCUACACCCUUCUCUGCCUUUAUUUUUUGAUUUGUGCAACUUGUAACUAGGUGUUUAUGGAAUAAAGGAGAAU